UACGGAGGGUGCAAGCGUUAUCCGGAUUUACUGGGUUAAAGGGUGCGCAGGCGGAUAUGUAAGUCAGUGGUGAAAUCUCUAGGCUUAACCUGGAAAUUGCCGUUGAUACUAUAUAUCUUGAAUGCUGUGGAGGUAAGCGGAAUAUGUCAUGUAGCGGUGAAAUGCUUAGAUAUGACAUAGAACACCUAUUGCGAAGGCAGCUUACUACGCAGAUAUUGACGCUCAUGCACGAAAGCGUGGGGAUCAAACAGG
rnacentral:rRNA from 1 species